UUUGUACGAUAAAUUAUAUGUAUGAUAAAUAUUUUGAUGUUUGGUAUCUUUGUUUAGUAUACAUUUAUACAUAAACCAUUCUACGUGUUUUGUUGAAAUGUAGCCGUUUUAGUAACAACAAUGGGAAACUUAAUGUUAAGUAUAAAAUCUUGUUGCUGUUGUUGUUGUGGACAAAAUAUGAAACUUGCAGCACUUUUUAUUAUUCUCUUGACAAUGCUAUCAUGUAUAGUGAUAAUAAAUGAGAUCACAAACCCAUCGUGUUCAAACUUAUACACUCCACAUACAAAUCUGACAGAGACUCUAAAAAUUAUGAAAGUUUCUCUUUUCUUAUUAGUGUUGGGUCUGAUGAUGAGCUCCUUCGUAUUUAUGUUGAAUGUUUUCGUUUUUAAACACCCGUUUUUGGUCAUCCUAUUUCAAUUGUUCUUGGUAUCAUCACUGAUGUCUUUGUUCCCAUACACAAUACUUUUAAUGGUGCAAUCAGAGAGGAUCAUGUGUACAAAUAAUACUGCAAUAACUAAUCUAUUUAUUUUUUGUUUAGCAUGGGUUUACUUUGAAAUAGUUAUAAAUGAAUACAGAAAGGAAGCUUAUAAAUGAAAUGAAUAUUACUGGUAACAGAAAAUUUAAAAACGAAACUUGAUUGUACAGACAUUGGAAUGGUCACAAUGUAUCCAAUCUGUCCAAACAGUACAAACAGUAUCGUGAUAGUUCUCAAAAGCAUCAUUACUAUUGUAUGUUUUAUAUCUAAUAUUGCUAUGUUGGUUACGAGCAUUAUAUUUUUGUACGGCGUCCUGCGGGGCAUAAAGGAAACUGCAACGUGGUUUAUGUUUGCGAUUUUGUUUUCUCUAACAGUGCGCGUUGCAUUUAUUAUAACCGCCCUUAUUGUGGGCUUGUUAUUUUCUUGCUGCAGUUUGUUUGACUUGCAUAUAGUGCAUCAGGCUAUCAGUUUCAUAAUUUGGUUCCACUUUCUAGCUGUUGUCAAGAGUUACAGAGAUAUAAUGUAAACGAUAACAGAUACGGGUGUACCGAAGUACCAUUUAAACUUCCAGUUUUGAAGAAGAAGUGUGUGUUUCACAAUCUUAAUCUGUCUAUACAAUAAAUAUCUAGAUUA